rnacentral:rRNA from 1 species
GAUGAACGCUGGCGGCGUGCCUAAUACAUGCGAGUCGAGCGAACAGAUGAGGAGCUUGCUCCUCUGACGUUAGCGGCGGACGGGUGAGUAACACGUGGAUAACCUACCUAUAAGACUGGGAUAACUUCGGGAAACCGGAGCUAAUACCGGAUAAUAUAUUGAACCGCAUGGUUCAAUAGUGAAAGACGGUUUUGCUGUCACUUAUAGAUGGAUCCGCGCCGCAUUAGCUAGUUGGUAAGGUAACGGCUUACCAAGGCAACGAUGCGUAGCCGACCUGGGAGGGUGAUCGGCCACACUGGAACUGAGACACGGUCCAGACUCCUACGGGAGGCAGCAGUAGGGAAUCUUCCGCAAUGGGCGAAAGCCUGACGGAGCAACGCCGCGUGAGUGAUGAAGGUCUUCGGAUCGUAAAACUCUGUUAUUAGGGAAGAACAAAUGUGUAAGUAACUAUGCACGUCUUGACGGUACCUAAUCAGAAAGCCACGGCUAACUACGUG